GAGAAGUGCUAUUGUGCAGGUUUAAAAAA
rnacentral:piRNA from 1 species